CAGGAUGAACGCUAGCGACAGGCCUAACACAUGCAAGUCGAGGGGCAGCACAAGGAGCAAUCUGAGGUGGCGACCGGCGCACGGGUGAGUAACACGUAUGCAACCUGCCUGUAAGCGGGGAAUAACCCGUUGAAAGACGGACUAAUACCGCAUAAUACUAAAUUACUGCAUGGUAAUUUAUUUAAACAUUUAUGGCUUACAGAUGGGCAUGCGCAUGAUUAGCUAGUUGGAGAGGUAACGGCUCCCCAAGGCAACGAUCAUUAGGGGUUCUGAGAGGAAGGUCCCCCACACUGGUACUGAGACACGGACCAGACUCCUACGGGAGGCAGCAGUGAGGAAUAUUGGUCAAUGGACGAGAGUCUGAACCAGCCAAGUCGCGUGCAGGAAGAAUGUUCCCUAUGGAUUGUAAACUGCUUUUGCAGGGGAAUAAAGUGCAUCACGUGUGAUGUUUUGUAUGUACUCUGCGAAUAAGGAUCGGCUAACUCCGUGCCAGCAGCGGC
rnacentral:rRNA from 1 species